UACGUAGGGUGCGAGCGUUAAUCGGAAUUACUGGGCGUAAAGCGUGCGCAGGCGGUUCGUUGUGUCGGUGGUGAAAGCCCCGGGCUUAACCUGGGAAUGGCCAUGGAAACUGGCGAACUGGAGUGUGGCAGAGGGGGGUGGAAUUCCGCGUGUAGCAGUGAAAUGCGUAGAGAUGUGGAGGAACACCGAUGGCGAAGGCAGCCUCCUGGGCCAGCACUGACGCUCAUGCACGAAAGCGUGGGGAGCAAACAGG
rnacentral:rRNA from 1 species